GACAGAGGGGGCAAGCGUUGCUCGGAAUUACUGGGCGUAAAGGGCGCGUAGGCGGGAUGGCAAGUCGGUCGUGAAAUCCUUCGGCCCAACCGAAGAACGUCGAUCGAUACUGCUGUUCUAGAGGAUUGCAGAGGAGACUGGAAUUCCCGGUGUAGCGGUGAAAUGUGUAGAGAUCGGGAGGAACACCGGUGGCGAAGGCGGGUCUCUGGACCGGUACUGACGCUGAUGCGCGAAAGCGUGGGGAGCAAACGGG
rnacentral:rRNA from 1 species